rnacentral:rRNA from 1 species
GCGCAUGCAGGUGGUUUGUUAAGUCAGAUGUGAAAGCCCGGGGCUCAACCUCGGAAUUGCAUUUGAAACUGGCAAACUAGAGUACUGUAGAGGGGGUAGAAUUUCAGGUGUAGCGGUGAAAUGCGUAGAGAUCUGAAGGAAUACCGGUGGCGAAGGCGGCCCCCCUGGACAGAUACUGACACUCAGAUGCGAAAGCGUGGGGAGCAAACAGGAUUAGACUACCCCUGGUAG